rnacentral:rRNA from 1 species
GAUGAACGCUGGCGGCGUGCCUAAUACAUGCAAGUAGAGCGCUGAAGGAAGGAGCUUGCUCUUUCCGGAUGAGUUGCGAACGGGUGAGUAACGCGUAGGUAACCUGCCUGGUAGCGGGGGAUAACUAUUGGAAACGAUAGCUAAUACCGCAUAACAGUAGAUGUUGCAUGAUAUCUACUUAAAAGGUGCAAUUGCACCACUACCAGAUGGACCUGCGUUGUAUUAGCUAGUUGGUGAGGUAACGGCUCACCAAGGCGACGAUACAUAGCCGACCUGAGAGGGUGAUCGGCCACACUGGGACUGAGACACGGCCCAGACUCCUACGGGAGGCAGCAGUAGGGAAUCUUCGGCAAUGGACGGAAGUCUGACCGAGCAACGCCGCGUGAGUGAAGAAGGUUUUCGGAUCGUAAAGCUCUGUUGUAAGAGAAGAACGAGUGUGAGAGUGGAAAGUUCACACUGUGACGGUAUCUUAACAGAAAGGGACGGCUAACUACGUG